rnacentral:misc_RNA from 1 species
AAAUGCGAUAAGUAAUGUGCAUUGCAGAAUUCAGUGAAUCAUCGAAUCUUUGAACGCACGUUGCGCUCCUUGGUAUUCCUUGGAGCAUGCCUGUUUGAGUAUCAUGAAAUCUUCAAAGUAAAUCUUUUGUUAACUCAAUUGGUUUCUACUUUGGUAUUGGAGGUCUUUGCAGCUUCACACCUGCUCCUCUUUGUUCAUUAGCUGGAUCUCAGUGUUAUGCUUGGUUCCACUCGGCGUGAUAAGUUAUCUAUCGCUGAGGACACUGUAAAAGGUGGCCAAGGUAAAUGCAGAUGAACCGCUUCUAAUAGUCCAUUGACUUGGACAAUACUUUUAUGAUCUGAUCUCAAAUCAGGUAGGACUACCCGCUGAACUUAAGC